CAGCAGCCGCGGUAAUACAGAGGUGGCAAGCGUUGUUCGGAUUUACUGGGCGUAAAGGGUGCGUAGGUGGCAUCGUGUGUCGGACGUGAAAUACCACGGCUUAACUGUGGAAUUGCAUUCGAAACUGUGAAGCUGGAGUGCGGGAGAGGAGAGCGGAAUUCUUGGUGUAGCGGUGAAAUGCGUUGAUAUCAAGAAGAACACCGGUAGCGAAGGCGGCUCUCUGGAACGCAACUGACACUGAGGCACGAAAGCUGGGGGAGCAAACAGGAUUAGAUACCCUGGUAGUCCCAGCCCUAAACGGUGUGCAUUUGGUGUAGGAGGUAUUGACCCCUCCUGUGCCGGAGCUAACGCGUUAAAUGCACCGCCUGGGGAGUACGGCCGCAAGGUUAAAACUCAAAGGAAUUGACGG
rnacentral:rRNA from 1 species